GUUUGGGAGGAGUUUACGAACUCCGCGUGGUGAAGGAUGGUGUCAAGAAAAGCUCGUAAUGUGAUGAAAACAUAGUACCCGUACCCGAAACCGACACAGGUAGGGAGGUUGAGAAUACCAAGGGGCGCGAGAUAACUCUCUCUAAGGAACUCGGCAAAAUGGCCCCGUAACUUCGGGAGAAGGGGUGCCCACCUCAGACGUGGGUCGCAGUGAAGAGAUCCAGGCGACUGUUUACCAAAAACACAGGUCUCCGCCAACUCGAAAGAGGACGUAUGGGGGCUGACGCCUGCCCAGUGCCGGAAGGUUAAGGAAGUUGGUCAGGGGUUCGCCUUGAAGCUGACGACCGAAGCCCCGGUGAACGGCGGCCGUAACUAUAACGGUCCUAAGGUAGCGAAAUUCCUUGUCGGGUAAGUUCCGACCCGCACGAAAGGCGUAACGAUCUGGAUGGUGUCUCAGAGAGAGACUCGGCGAAAUAGGAAUGUCUGUGAAGAUACGGACUGCCUGCACCUGGACAGAAAGACCCUAUGAAGCUUUACUGUAGCCUGGAAUUGUGUUCGGGCUUCGCUUGCGCAGGAUAGGUGGGAAGCGAAGAAGUAUCCCUUGUGGGGGAUAUGGAGCUAACGGUGAGAUACCACUCUGGCGAAGCUAGAAUUCUAACCCAUGACCGUAAGCCGGUCAGGGAACAGUUUCAGGUGGGCAGUUUGACUGGGGCGGUCGCCUCCUAAAAAGUAACGGAGGCGCGCAAAGGUUCUCUCAGCACGCUUGGAAACUGUGCGGCGAGUGUAAAGGCAAAAGAGAGCUUGACUGCGAGAGAUACAACUCAAGCAGGGACGAAAGUCGGCCUUAGUGAUCCGACGGCACAGCAUGGAAUGGCCGUCGCUCAACGGAUAAAAGUUACUCUAGGGAUAACAGGCUGAUCUCCCCCAAGAGUCCACAUCGACGGGGAGGUUUGGCACCUCGAUGUCGGCUUAUCGCAACCUGGGGCGGAAGUACGUCCCAAGGGUUGGGCUGUUCGCCCAUUAGAGCGGUACGUGAGCUGGGUUCAGAACGUCGUGAGACAGUUCGGUCCAUAUCCGGUGCAGGCGCAAGAGCAUUGAGAGGAGCCUUCCUUAGUACGAGAGGACCGGGAAGGACGCACCGCUGGUGUACCAGUUAUCGUACCAACGGUAAACGCUGGGUAGCCAAGUGCGGAGCGGAUAACCGCUGAAAGCAUCUAAGUGGGAAGCCCACCUCAAGAUGAGUGCUCUCACUACAUAAGUAGGUAAGGUCACGGGCAGAACACCCGUUUAUAGGCUCUAAGUGGAAGUACAGUAAUGUAUGAAGCUGAGGUGUACUAACAGACCGAGGGC
rnacentral:rRNA from 1 species